GGUGUAGCAGACAAAUAAAAAUAGCUGUAACCCGAGUUUACAUCGUAACAAAAUACAGAGAGUCACACUAGCCUAUUUAGCCACCUAAGUAUAUGGCGUGCAGUUAGCUAGCAAGAGCCAGCUCAGAAAAGGCCGACACUUCAAAUACAGGCAACCACACCUAGACCUACCCUAGACCUCACAGCUUAACCCAGCGGGCCGGCAAAGGUAUUCCUCUUUACUUCCAUCGCCUCGACCCGUCCGGUUACAAGCCACGCCAAGGACGUCACGGCCCAGCCCAGCAAUCACUGAGUUUCGGAGCCAGCCUCUGGGGGGAGCCAGCCUAGAGCGGCCCUGGAAAGCGUACAGGCCGUUUCGGAAACGGAAGCGGACUGACGUCAUCGACAAGACGCCUCCGGAGGAAGGGCGGGGUGCGAUUCUUGCCAAGUUAUUUUAUCACUGAAACUCGCACUUCAUUCAUAAUGGAGACAUAAAUCUUGAGAUUUUUUAUGUGAAAUUAUGUAUGUACUUACUUACAAAUGCCUGUAUUUUUAAAUAAGGAAAAUGAAGUUCAGAAAAAUUAUAUACAGUUCUGUGGAAGCAGAUCCAGUUCUGUAUACUGAAGAUAUUAAUGGAAGAUAUUAAUUCACCUCUCAGUUCCAUGAGGUUCUGUUGUGCCUAUCUGGCUCAUUAUCGUUUUUCCAGCACCUGGUUAUACCAGUUUCAAUAAAUAAUUCACUGAAGAAAUGAACGCAAGCUUCGUAACCCCCUAAAUGGGUUAGGUAGUUGCAGGGCAGAGUGCAUAGUUUUUAAUAAAAAAUCAAGUAUGUUAAUUUAUUGCAACCCUAUGAAUUAAGUGCUACUUUUAUGGAAGAGGAAACUGGGACUCUAAGGUAAGAAAUGGAACUUAGAAUUGAACUUGGAAUUCAUGCAGAGAGUUACAACAAAAUCAGAGAGGAAAAGUACCUAAUCAUAGUUUCACUGACUUUGAGUAGAUUGUUCAUGCAGCUUUGUAAUCCUAUUAUAUUUCCCUAUACCAUCCUCAAGUUUUAGUGUAUAUCAGAAUCACUUGAAGGGCUUGUUAAAACAGUUAAAAGUCUGGUGCCACUGCCAGAGUUUUUGAUUCAGGUAGAUUCCAGUGGGGUCCAAAAUUUUGCAUUUCUCACUAGUUCCUAAAUGAUGUUGAUACUGCUGGACUCAGGACCACACUUUGAGAACUAGUGCCCUGACUCCUUCACAUUUGGACUAUUUCACACUUUGCUUUCCAAAAAAUGACCAGUAUUUCCUCCCCCUCAUUUGAUGACUUUAUUUUCAUUGAGGAAAUAGCUGAAACAUAACUUCUACAUAUUUUUACCCUAUCUGUGGUUUGGUAACUGUAUGUGUACUUACAUUUUAUAUCUUCUCUUGUGUUACAUAUGCAGCAAAUCCCACCCUUCUUGCUUACACAGUCAUCACUCCUCUCCACUGUUUCAUCAGGCUUUUCCCCCCAUCACUGGAUUAUGCCCAACAGCAUUGAGCAGGCUGUUUUUGUAUCUCAUCUUUACAAGACAACAAAACAAGACUCUUCCCAUGAUCUCCGAUCUUCCUCUAGUUCAUUACUAUUUCCCUUGAUAUAGAAAUUCUUGAGAGGAUUGUUUGUGCUCACCAUCUCUAGGACUUCUUUGCCACCCUCCAGUAUCUACUCUUCUGCCACCCUGGUCCAACCCACUAUUGUCUUUAACCUUUGUUAUGGCAAUAGCCUCCUAACUGAUCCCUCUCUUAUAAUCCAGUCUUAAUACAGUAGCCUUAGCAUACUGUUACACAGAUAGAACAUAUGCUUCAAAGGGACACAAUAACUUGCAUAUACUAGCAUUAGAAAUUCUCAUACAUUUUCAGUGUACCAUCAGAAUUAGUUAAUAUUUACAUAGUACUUAUGUGCCAGAUACCAUAUUAAAUGUUUUACAUGUCAAGAAUUAUUUCUAAUCUUUUCACAGAUGAGGAAAACUGAAAUUUCAAGAGAUGAAGCAAUUUAGGCAACACUGGUGGAGCCAGAACCCAGGGAGCAGGGCUGGGACUUGAGAGACCAGUGAAGGACCCCAGGAGACUUGUCUGUCUCACUCUAGUGCUGGUCGUGACAGGCAAUCUUAACCCCUUGCUCUUAGCUGAUAUACCAUUUUAUCUCCAGUCUAUCAUAAGCAGUUCAAGAACUAGCACCUUGUCACUUAGUAGGGUCUAACUUAGUAGGGUUUUAACUUUUUGAAAUUUCUUCAUAUCACACAAUUCUAAGAUUAUACAUCACUUUCUCAAGGCUUUUCCUGACCCCACAAAUUUUUCCCCUUGUUUUUUCAUUGCACUUUUCUACUUGCCUUACUGAAAGCAUAAUUUAUAGUAUAAAAGCUGGGACUUUAAAGUCAGAUAUUUUGAAUUCUGAGACUAUAUUUAAAGGCUGAAUUAUUUUGAGUAAAUUUUCCUUAUCUGUAAAAAUGAGUUAAUGAUAGUACCUGUAACUUAGUUGUUUAAGUAAUUAAUGUAAACUGUAUACUGUUUGGCACAGAGUGGGUAUUUGGUCCUAUUUGGUAAAAGAUUAGGUCCUGCUUUAAGAAGCAUAUUGGGUAGCAUAUCUCAAGCUAAUUUCUUCAGAAACUAGGUAGAAAUAGUUGGCUGUACAUCUCCAUUUCCCAUGUUUUAAAAGUUAAUGGUACACACAGUCUAUAAUCAAUAUGGUUUCUAAAUUUUAUUGCUUAGGGAACAAGUACACAUUUUCUCAAGUAUAUUAGGACUUAUUAAAUAGCAAGUGACAGAAACCAAACUCAAACUGGCUUAGACAAGAAAGGGGAACUUAUUAGAGGGAUAUCAGGGUAUUACAUGUAUUUGAACAACCAAUAAAUGCUACAGGCAAACCUAUAGCUGAACCUCAGGGACAACUGAGACAGAAAUCUGAACAUCUCCAGAAACUGGUCUUAUUUCUGUAUAUGAGUUUCACUCUCUCCCAUGAUAGCCUGGCUUCCUUUAUAUGAAAGGAUAUGGCCACCAUCAAUUCCAGAGCUUCUUAUCUAUCAAAGUCCACCACCAGAAAGGAUUUGAUGCAGGUUAGUUCAUAAAUGCAAAAACCUUCGAGAAUAGUUGUGACUGGCCUAUUUGAAAGUUAGAUACCCUUCUCUAAGCUUGAGUGAGGUGUCUCCUUUAGGAUAACGAGCUGCAGCCAGAAGAGCGAGUCUGUAAAAAUAUGGCAGCUUCCAUUCAAAUCACAUGACUGGAGAAAAGCAACUAUUUUCUAGAAAGGAAACCUAUCUACACUACAAUAGGCAGUGCUAUAUGUAAUACUUAUCAAAUAAGCCACUCUUUUCUAAGAGGACAGAAAAUGAACUUUAUGCCCUAAGCCUAUUUUUCAUAAUACAGCCAAAUAUAUGACAUGCCAAUGUAUGUCUUAACCUUUUGUUGAACUAAGAUUUGGUUAAACAAUAUACCUAACCCUCUUAGACACUGCUGGUGGGAAUGUAAAUUGGUACAGUCACUAUGGAAAGCAGUAUGGAGGUUCCUCAAGAAACUAAAUGUACAAAUACCAUAACUCCACUUGUAGGA